rnacentral:lncRNA from 1 species
UGGAACAAAGGAUUAUAUCGGACCUAGACCGAGGUAUUGAUGGUGAUUUUCUAAUCUCGCAGAAUAGAAUGUGAUGCAAUGAGAUAGAAUGCAAUAAAAACAAAGACAUGGAACGGGUUACCUACUCUUAACGGGCAAAGCGAGCCCCUUUAUUCUGAAUUCUUUAAUUCAGAAUCAAUCAAAUCUCCCCAAAUAGGAUUCGAACCUACGACCAAUCGGUUAACA